rnacentral:tRNA from 1 species
GGGCGAUUAGCGCAGCGGUAGCGCACCUCCUUUACACGGAGAGGGUCGGGGGUUCGAUUCCCUCAUCGCCCA